UACGAAGGGGGCUAGCGUUGCUCGGAAUCACUGGGCGUAAAGGGUGCGUAGGCGGGUCUUUAAGUCAGGGGUGAAAUCCUGGAGCUCAACUCCAGAACUGCCUUUGAUACUGAGGAUCUUGAGUCCGGGAGAGGUGAGUGGAACUGCGAGUGUAGAGGUGAAAUUCGUAGAUAUUCGCAAGAACACCAGUGGCGAAGGCGUCUCACUGGCCCGGUACUGGCGCUGAGGCACGAAAGCGUGGGGAGCAAACAGG
rnacentral:rRNA from 1 species